AGAAGGUUCCAGCGCCAGACUCAGGGCGCCAUGUAACGGGGCGCAGCAGUGGGGGCACACGGGGACAGGAAAUGCUCUGCUCUGAUUCCUGAGGAAGACCCCGCAGGUUCGCUGCUCAGGGAGUUGCUGUGGGAGUUGCUGAGUCCCGCCGAAGUUUGCUCUGAUUUCUGAGACA